GAGCUGAGAAAGAGGAUCACACUGCUGCUCAUCACGACAGGGCGCACAUUAGGACCAACUAAAAAUGUUCAAGACCUUCAUACUAAAAGUUUAGGCCUUUUUAUUUUUGCAUGGUUUAACAGAAAACAAUUUCUGACUUUUUGUUUCUUUAGCACCGAUUUGGAUCUAACGCCACGAGCAAGGCACGGAGGGAGAGACAGGUUUGGGCUCGCUGAAGGGAGAGGCCAAGACACAGAGUACAUUCUCUAACACUCUCUGAACACAACAACAGCCUUCGCAAUGGAACAUUCUGAACCUGCACAACAAAACAGUAUCAGUUAGAAAUGGAAUUUGAAAUUUAAAUGUUCCAAAUUUGAAUGUACAGUGUUUUUAAAUAGUCUGUAAUCCCUUGAUUUCUUUAUUGACGGUGUGAUUAUGUUGUGUCAUCCUUCAAACAGGUACAGACAUGCUGCGGAAGCCGGAAAGCAGUUUUAUCUGCUCUGUGAAUUCUAUCCUUCAUUCCACCGGAGUCUGUGUAGCUGUCCAAUCAGAUUUCAGUGGUGUGAAGUGUAGGAGACAUGGAAAGAUCACUUUUUUUCCCAAGCUGCAAAGGUUGUUUUCAUGGGCUUAACCGAAAAACAGCACAGAUGUGAGGUGAAACGCAUGUCAAGAACACAAUUACAAGUUUUCAAAAGCAUGCAUGGCUAGUUUUGUGUUGUAGUGUAAUUUGCCAUGUGCUUUCAUGCUUGCCAGGAUCAAUGCAGGCUGUGACAGUUGUAUGCUAAACGCUGUGAAUGUUAAGUCCUGGCUGGCCUGUUGUGCAUUUAAGAUCAGCUUAUCUAAACAUCUAUGUAAAGCGUUGUACCUCACCCUGCCCUUUAGUGCACCACUCCAGCUCCACACAACAUGGCAUGUUUGUUCAUUUGCUGUUGUGGAGAGAGCCGAGGCGGGCUGAGUACACACACCCCCACACAUACAAGAUUCACAAAGCCUGCCAAGAUGUAUUUAUGUAUGCUGGUUCAGCCUUUAUCCUCUCAACCCACACUAAUAAACUCACUUUACAAAA